GACGAACGCUGGCGGCGUGCCUAAUACAUGCAAGUAGGACGCAGUUGUGAACGGGUGAGUAACGCGUAGGUCAAUACCUAUUAGAGGGGGAUAACUAUUGGACACGAUAGCUAAUACCGCAUACUAGUAGAUGGACCUGCGUUGUAUUAGCUAGUAAGUAGGGUAAUGGCCGACCUAGGCAACGAUCACUAGCUGACCUAACGUGGUGAGCUGCCACACUGGGACUGAGACACGGCCCAGACUCCUACGGAGGCAGCAGUAGGGAAUCUUCGGCAAGUGGGGGAACCCUGACCGAGCAACGCCGCGUGAGUGAAGAAGGUUUUCGGAUCGUAAAGCUCUGUUGUUAAGGAAUCGGUACUUAACCAGAAAGGGACGGCUAACUACGUGCCAGCCGCCGCGGUAAUUC
rnacentral:rRNA from 1 species